rnacentral:rRNA from 1 species
ACUCAAAUGAAUAGACGGGGACCCGCACAAGCAGAGGAUGAUGUGGUUUAAUUCGAAGCUACGCGAAGAACCUUACCAAGGCUUGACAUCCCAGGAAGGCGCUGGAAACAGUGCCGUGCUCUUCGGAGAACCUGGUGACAGGUGUUGCAUGGCCGUCGUCAGCUCGUGUCGUGAGAUGUUGGGUUAAGUCCCGCAACGAGCGCAACCCUUAUCGUAUGUUGAAUUUUUCAUGCGAGACCGCCCGGGCCAACCGGGAGGAAGGUGGGGAUGAUGUCAGGUCAGCAUGGCCCUUACGCCUUGGGCUACACACGUCAUACAAUGGCCGUCACAAUGCGUUGCCAAAUCGCAAGAUGGAGCUAAUCGCAUCAAAGCCGGUCUCAGUUCGGAUUGCAGGCUGCAACUCGCCUGCAUGAAGUUGGAUUUGCUAGUAAACGUGGGUCAGCAUACCACGUUGAAUACGUUCCCGGGUCUUGCACACACCGCCCGU